UACGAACUGUGCAAACGUUAUUCGGAUUCACUGGGCUUAAAGGGUGCGUAGGCGGCCAUGUAAGUAGGGUGUGAAAUCCCCCGGCUUAACCGGGGAACUGCGCCCUAAACUGUAUGGCUGGAGUGAGAUAGGGGUGUGUGGAACUUCCGGUGGAGCGGUGAAAUGUGUUGAUAUCGGAAGGAACGCCGGUGGCGAAAGCGACACACUGGGUCUCAACUGACGCUGAGGCACGAAAGCCAGGGGAGGCGAACGGG
rnacentral:rRNA from 1 species